CGUUAUAACCGGCGAUUUCCGAAUGGGGAAACCCAGUGUGUUUCGACACACUAUCAUUAACUGAAUCCAUAGGUUAAUGAGGCGAACCGGGGGAACUGAAACAUCUAAGUACCCCGAGGAAAAGAAAUCAACCGAGAUUCCCCCAGUAGCGGCGAGCGAACGGGGAGGAGCCCAGAGCCUGAAUCAGUGUGUGUGUUAGUGGAAGCGUCUGGAAAGGCGCGCGAUACAGGGUGACAGCCCCGUACACAAAAAUGCACAUGCUGUGAGCUCGAUGAGUAGGGCGGGACACGUGGUAUCCUGUCUGAAUAUGGGGGGACCAUCCUCCAAGGCUAAAUACUCCUGACUGACCGAUAGUGAACCAGUACCGUGAGGGAAAGGCGAAAAGAACCCCGGCGAGGGGAGUGAAAAAGAACCUGAAACCGUGUACGUACAAGCAGUGGGAGCACGCUUAGGCGUGUGACUGCGUACCUUUUGUAUAAUGGGUCAGCGACUUAUAUUCUGUAGCAAGGUUAACCGAAUAGGGGAGCCGAAGGGAAACCGAGUCUUAACUGGGCGUUAAGUUGCAGGGUAUAGACCCGAAACCCGGUGAUCUAGCCAUGGGCAGGUUGAAGGUUGGGUAACACUAACUGGAGGACCGAACCGACUAAUGUUGAAAAAUUAGCGGAUGACUUGUGGCUGGGGGUGAAAGGCCAAUCAAACCGGGAGAUAGCUGGUUCUCCCCGAAAGCUAUUUAGGUAGCGCCUCGUGAAUUCAUCUCCGGGGGUAGAGCACUGUUUCGGCAAGGGGGUCAUCCCGACUUACCAACCCGAUGCAAACUGCGAAUACCGGAGAAUGUUAUCACGGGAGACACACGGCGGGUGCUAACGUCCGUCGUGAAGAGGGAAACAACCCAGACCGCCAGCUAAGGUCCCAAAGUCAUGGUUAAGUGGGAAACGAUGUGGGAAGGCCCAGACAGCCAGGAUGUUGGCUUAGAAGCAGCCAUCAUUUAAAGAAAGCGUAAUAGCUCACUGGUCGAGUCGGCCUGCGCGGAAGAUGUAACGGGGCUAAACCAUGCAC
rnacentral:rRNA from 1 species